rnacentral:snRNA from 1 species
GUGCUUGCUUCAACAACACAUAUAUUAAAACUGGAACAACA